GCAACAAAAUAGAAAAGGAUGUGAGAAAGAUUUCUCACCUGUAAUAUCAAAAAAGUUAGAGCUUGCUCAUUUGGACAAUAACACCAGGUUUACACAGGCUUUAACAACCAGACCAGAAACAGCUCUGUGAACAGGUGCUGUGGGCUGGACACAGCUUUGAACAUCAGGAUGGGAGCAGAACCAGGCAUUCCCUGGAGCCACUCUGCGGCAGAACUGAUUCAACUGCGUGUUCGUGUGGAUCUAAGUGUGAGACCGGUGAUUUAAUAAGUGUCCUCAAGAUUUUCUGUCUUCUCUAGAACCAUUUCUUUUCCAAGAAGUUCUCUGAGGUAAUUGCAUUCAUCUAGUAUUCUUUCUUCAAUUUGUAUUAUUAAGACUCCAGGUUAAGAGUUUGGUUUUGUAAGUAAGCAAGGGCGUUUGUGAAGUGAUGAAAAAAA